AGUGAACGCUGGCGGUAGGCCUAACACAUGCAAGUCGAACGGCAGCACAGAGGAGCUUGCUCCUUGGGUGGCGAGUGGCGGACGGGUGAGGAAUACAUCGGAAUCUACUCUGUCGUGGGGGAUAACGUAGGGAAACUUACGCUAAUACCGCAUACGACCUACGGGCGAAAGCAGGGGACCUUCGGGCCUUGCGCGAUUGAAUGAGCCGAUGUCGGAUUAGCUAGUUGGCGGGGUAAAGGCCCACCAAGGCGACGAUCCGUAGCUGGUCUGGGAGGAUGAUCAGCCACACCGGAACUGAGACACGGUCCAGACUCCUACGGGAGGCAGCAGUGGGGAAUAUUGGACAAUGGGCGCAAGCCUGAUCCAGCCAUACCGCGUGGGUGAAGAAGGCCUUCGGGUUGUAAAGCCCUUUUGUUGGGAAAGAAAUCCAGCUGGCUAAUACCCGGUUGGGAUGACGGUACCCAAAGAAUAAGCACCGGCUAACUUCGUGCCAGCCGCCGCGGUAA
rnacentral:rRNA from 1 species